AUGUUCUCUUUCAUACGGGAUAGGCUGCUUACCAUUCAAUUAAAUUUUUUUUGUGGUACGUGCUUUUAUAUAUCAACCUACCAAUGGCACCGGCAGACGCCAUUUCUGCCAUUCAAAGAUCCCCCUCUUCCAUUCCACUACCCUUCCUCUUCAGCAAUGGAGGCACACCAAGAUCAUAGGAGGAGCACGUUUCAUGGUUGGAGCCGGACCGAAGAGAAUUGCUUGGACGCGCUGCCCGAUUCUGUCCUCUUCCUGAUCUUCGGCAAAGUUCGGGAUCUCAGGUCCUUGAUCCUUUGCUCUCUCGUCUCCAAGCGGUUUGGCCUCCUCAUCCCGCAGACGGACUCCAUCCGCAUCCAUCUCGACUACUUUGAAAAAUUAGGGCGACACACGAAACGCGGUUAUGGCAACCUUCUCAGGAACCUCUUCCGAGGUCAUUGCAUCAAACUGAUCGGGACGAGACCUCAGACUUCAAUCCCUGGUGGUGACCGUCCCUCUCCUUAUAGCGCCCUGCAUCUGCUGCAGAGCAGGUUUCAGAAGGUUCGGUACCUGCACAUAGAGCUUAAGAAUUCCGGCAAUAAGCUCGACGGGGAAGAGAGCAGCUCCAGGUUGAUGAAGUGGAGGGCUGUGUUCGGGUCUCAUCUCGAGACCUGUGUCAUCCUCUUGGCCUCCUCGCUUUAUAGAACAGACGAAGGCGAUAGGGCCCGGGCCAAAUUUAGUGCCAAACCGGAACUGAGCCACUCCGACCUGAGAUGGAUCGUCGAGUUAGCUAAGUGUUGUGUUGUCAAUGCAUCGUUCAGGCUUGUCUACUAUGUCCCUCGGGAUAAACACGGAACUCUUCAGAGAGUUGUCGUCUCUGAUGACAGCAGAAGGGGAAGGCUGUGUAUGGGAAGAGACGAGAUGUCGAGCUUUAGGACGUCUUGUUCGGGUGCCGAUGGUGAUUCUACAGAGAAAAUGAGGCUGAGGAGGCUGGAGAGCGUGGCAGGGCCACUGCUGUUGAGCGUGUGGUACAUGCCGGUGUUGGAUCUGCCACAAUCAGGCUACGAGAUGAGCAGGGCAAUCGUGGUGGUGGUCCGGAGGGGAGGUAACGGACCCAUCGCGAUGGAGAGGGAGGUAAGAUCACUAUUGGGCGCAUUCGAUGACGAAGAGAAGGGGAAGAUUUACGACGAAGCAGUCAUGGCGAUUGGUAAGUGCAAGCGGAAGAAGAUAUACACAUCAAGAGUUCGCAGCUUCGCGGAGAAAUAGCACUCGAGGCUAUUCCGCUGGUCCGAAAAUCGAUAUUUUCAAAUGACAGCCGCUAAGAUCUCCAACGUCGACAAGCUGCUCCAAGCAGAAGCCCGAGCUGCUCUCCUCGCCCUAUCAUUAGCUGCGGAAAGAGGAACGACAAAAAUUUGACUACGAAGUGACGCCUUAAUACUAAUAGAUGUCAUUUUACACC